UCGCACCACUGCACUCUAGCCUGGGCAACAGAGCGAGGCUCUGACUUAAACAAAAAACAAAAAACAAAAAAACAAACAAAAAAACCCCCACAAAACCAAGUCCAGAAUCCCCCAGAAGUGGUCACUUGUUUUUCUGCAAACAGGAAGACAAGCAAUGAUCCAGAGUCUUGAAGCAGUGUGCCGCGGAAGGUGGCGUAUCCGUGGGACCGACUGCUGGGCAUGGGGCGUCCCAGCCAGCAGAGAGGCAGCACCGGCCCCACUGCCGUCCCUCCUCUCCACCCCUGAGUUCCCACUGUACCAGGAGUGGGCUUGCUGUUCUCUGGCUCCUGCAUCCCUGUGGUGGAAUUUCCUCCCUUCCCCCUGGAGGGAGGGGCUCCCUCACCCUACCCACACCCCAGGUGGAGCUCAGGGAUCCUUCCCUGUGUCCCCUACAAGGCCAGCCCCUCCCAGUGGGACUCGUGUGGGGUCUCCUCCCACCCCAUUCUGUCAACC
rnacentral:lncRNA from 10 species